UUCGGGUGUCAGCGGCAGACGGGUGAGUAACACGUGGGAACGUACCCUUCGGUUCGGAAUAACGCAUGGAAACGUGCGCUAAUACCGGAUACGCCCUUUUGGGGAAAGGUUUACUGCCGAAGGAUCGGCCCGCGUCUGAUUAGCUAGUUGGUGGGGUAAUGGCCUACCAAGGCGACGAUCAGUAGCUGGUCUGAGAGGAUGAUCAGCCACACUGGGACUGAGACACGGCCCAGACUCCUACGGGAGGCAGCAGUGGGGAAUAUUGGACAAUGGGCGCAAGCCUGAUCCAGCCAUGCCGCGUGAGUGAUGAAGGCCUUAGGGUUGUAAAGCUCUUUUGUCCGGGACGAUAAUGACGGUACCGGAAGAAUAAGCCCCGGCUAACUUCGUGCCAGCAGCCGCGGUAAUACGAAGGGGGCUAGCGUUGCUCGGAAUCACUGGGCGUAAAGGGCGCGUAGGCGGCCAUUCAAGUCGGGGGUGAAAGCCUGUGGCUCAACCACAGAAUUGCCUUCGAUACUGUUUGGCUUGAGUAUGGUAGAGGUCAGUGGAACUGCGAGUGUAGAGGUGAAAUUCGUAGAU
rnacentral:rRNA from 1 species